UACGUAGGUGGCAAGCGUUGUCCGGAUUUACUGGGCGUAAAGCGCGCGCAGGCGGUGGCGUGAGCCCGGCGUGAAAGCCCCCAGCUCAACUGGGGGAGGCCGUCGGAGACCGCGACACUUGAGGCCGGUAGGGGAGAGCGGAAUUCCCGGUGUAGUGGUGGAAUGCGUAGAUAUCGGGAGGAACACCAGUGGCGAAAGCGGCGCUCUGGGCCUAAACUGACGCUGAGGGGCGAAAGCGUGGGGAGCGAACGGG
rnacentral:rRNA from 1 species